GAGCUUCCAUUUCAGCUUGCUGUAGUUCAUCUUCUUGAAGUUCUGCUUGCUGUUGUGCAAUCUCAAAUCUUGCACAUUCACUAAUCUUAUGGCCAAUCAGAUCACAUUAGCCACAGAAUAGUGUUGGGAAAUUAUGGAAUUCAAAGGUCAACCCAUUGUAAAAGCCAAGAGCAUUUUCAGCAUUAACCGAAAAACGGAUUGGAAUCCAAAUGAGUGAGGUGAUUUCCGUCAGAUCCACGCGAGUCAGAAGAAACAAAUACGGUGUUACUACUCAGUGUGUUUUACAUUUGCAUUCUCUGUUUAGACUCAGCCAUCCUCAAAAUUUAGAUUAGAAUGAAAGACUCGCAUUGAGAAGGAUUUUAGACGAUGCUGCUAGCCUGCUGCACAUGCGAUUCAGUAAAUCAAGACAACUGUGAAGCGAUCUAAUGUCAGAACACAACUACAAGACCGAAUGACGGAGAUCCAAGAUACAUCUACGAGAAACAAGAAACUGUGUUUUAAUUGUGGGAAAAUUGCCAAGUUGUAUGAGAUAAAGGUGGCAUGUUAUGGAAGAUUGUAGGUGCUUGAUAGCUCAAACAACAUACAAUUGCAGCAACCUGUUUUGGAAGAUUGCAGGUGCUUCAUAGAGCUGUACAACAUAAAGCAACCAUGUUUUGGAAGAUUGCAGUGCUUUCCUAAUUCGAGAUGAGAAGAUUUUGACUAAGAAGAGCAGGAAAGCUACACAAGGAGUGUAUGAAGAUAGAUAGUUGAAGUUGAUAACAAACAGGUUCACUGUACAAUUUCUCAUUUGAGAGAAUUUAUUGUGUAUGUCAACAAUGUUUCAUCAUUCUCUAUGGAUUUAAAUAAAGCAGUAACCGGCAUCUGCUGCAACUACGUGAUGAUAUAGGUGCUAGAAAGGAAAUAUCUCCAGAACCCACUCAAUGUACUACUCAGCUGGAUGUGAUUACUAUGGUAUGGCUCAGGGAGGUGACUACAUAGAUGCAGAUCAUACAAGCAAUUCAAUUAUUACUUGACAGGCUCACAGACUGUUAAGACUUUGCUUUUCAGGGAGUAGGAUUGUUGCAGCAAUUAUCAAGUCAACGUUUGGUUGGAUCACAAGACAGCAGUGCCUAUAGUUACACAUGUAUGGAUCUCUACAUAUUCGCAACUCCAUUUCGUGUUACACGGGAUUCUUAUUUCCUUGGUCGGCAUCAUACCCUUGAGUUUAAAGAAUGAGCAGGAAAAGCUGAGUAUGAUUAUGGAUGCUAGGUACACUUCAAGCUCUCUGGGAAGUCUUUUCUUUAUUCACAAAUACCCAAAUGGGGUGAGAAUUCAAACAUAGCAUUCCUUAAGAAGCACAUGAGAGCAUCCUUUGUAGAACGUCCUAAGCCCUGGGUUACAAAUAUUACUGUCGAUAGUAUUAACUCAGGAGAUUUCUUAGCCAUAUCAAAAAUCCGUGGGGGAUGGGGUGCUUUCGAGACCUUGGAAAAGUGGGUUACUGGAACUUAUGUUGAGCAUACUGCAGUUUGCUUGAAGAUCCUGAAGGAAAUCUUUGGGUUGGAAAAUCUGGUCACGAAAAUGAGGAGAUGUUAUUGUGAUGACGCCAUGGGAUGAAUGGUGGAGGUUUGAGCUUACCGAAGAUGACUCUAGUCCUCAUAUUGCAUUGCUACCUUUGCACCCUGACGUCCGGGUCAAAUUUAACGAGACUGCAGCGUGGGAGUAUGCAAAGAGCAUGAUAGGGAAACCAUACAGUUAUAAUAACAAGAUCUUUAGCUGUAUAGAUAUUGUCGAUGGGAAUUUCCCACCACCACUGGAUGCACAUCUGGUAUUCCUUCGUUUCCUGUAUCAGUAUGAGGAUUUCCUUUUCAUGUACUGUAGUCUAGUAAUGAUGCAUUCAUCCCUUUAUGUACUCCGUGUUCCAACACGUGGAUUUGAUGACUUUAAUGUGUAAAAAUAGCCCCCUAUGGAAACAAGCUUCCAAAACUGCCACCCUUAAAUGAAAAUAUACAUAUAACACCCUUUUUG